rnacentral:rRNA from 1 species
AAUCAACGCUGGCGGCGUGCCUCAGACAUGCAAGUCGAACGCGAAAGCUCCCUUCGGGGAGCAAGUAGAGUGGCGCACGGGUGAGUAACACGUAGGUAAUCUACCUUUGGAUGGGGAAUAACAACCGGAAACGGUUGCUAAUACCGCAUAAUGCAGCGGCACCUAAUGGUGACAGUUGUUAAAGCGGGGGAUCGCAAGACCUCGCGUCUGAAGAGGAGCCUGCGGCGGAUUAGCUAGUUGGUAGGGUAACGGCUUACCAAGGCGAUGAUCCGUAGCCGGCCUGAGAGGGCGGUCGGCCACACUGACACUGACAUACGGGUCAGACUCCUACGGGAGGCAGCAGUCGGGAAUUUUGGGCAAUGGGCGAAAGCCUGACCCAGCAACGUCGCGUGAAGGAUGAAAUCCCUCGGGAUGUAAACUUCGCAAGAACGGGAAGAAUAAGCCGGUGUCAACACCACCGGCGAUGACGGUACUGUUUGUAAGCUCCGGCUAACUCCGUGCCAGCAGCC